rnacentral:lncRNA from 13 species
AAAUAUUGGUAAUUUCAGAUGGUUCAGCUUUGUUUUUUUAUAAACUGAAAAAAGUCUUUAAAAAAAAAGUAGACUAUAAAUAUGCAUAUUUUCCCUGAAUUGGCCACUUUCCUCUCUCAAUUCCAGUAAUACUAAUAUAGUCAUAAGAUUAAAAAUUUUGCCAUUAGCAACCAAGAUAUCCUUCAGUAGAUAAAAGGAUAAACUAUGGCACAUCCAUACAAUGGAACAGUAUUCCUUUUUUUUUUUUUUGAAUGAGAAAACAUUUAUUCCUUCUCCAAACAGCAUCCAAGGGCCGGGCGUCGCCCCCAAGGCUUUGUAAUACAUUCCGCACAGAGUAGGAGCCAUGGGGCAUGGGACACCCCUGCUUCCUAAGUAACAACUGCAAAAUAUUUACAUAAAGCUGGGUGUUGUCAGGCAAAGCCCUUCCCUGCUGCCAGGGGUGGAAGCAAGGAGGAAGUGUUGUGGGCACCAGUCCUGCCUCCACACCAUGGGGGCAGCCCAGAGAACACUGGCCCAGGGUGGUGGCCCCCAGAUCAUACAGCAGUGGGCCUAGUGGGAGCAAACCUGAGUGAGGACGCAGGAGCCUGGUCCAGCCCCAAUGCACAGGGUAGGUAUAAGGCCCCCCAAGAGUCUUUGGCAGAGAACACAGAUAACAGUGGCUCCCACAGCCUGACCCGGGCUGGGGAAAGCUGAGGCACUGGUAAGUAGCAUGUGGGUGCCUGCUGGCUUCUAGCCACUCCAGGCGGGGCUGGGGUCAUUAAAAGCAAGGAGAAACACUAGCUAAAAAUCCUUUCCUAAAAGUGCCCAUCUUAUAGUAAGAUUAGCAAGGGCCCUUUGGCCCUCGGUCCUUCCUGGUUAUUGACUGUCCCUGGUUCCUAGGAAGACAGAGCUGUUCUCCAGCUAAAGCUUCUCCUCUCUAUAAAGCAGUUUUACUAUUUCCUUCAGAGCAGGAGCCAAAAUAGUAUAGGAGGGGAGGGAGGCACCUGGCACUCCCUAGGCCUACACAGGAAAAACAGAACCUAAGGCAGAAUCAUUGUAUGAGAUAUUUAUUAAAGGAGUGUCUCGGCAAAAAAAAUUGGAUUUUUUUUUUUUUUUUUUUUUAACCAAACACUCAUCCCAUUUAAUUUCCUGUUACAUGCUCUGAGGAAGCCAAGAACAUUAGGUCCCAGGGCAGCAAUGCUCUGAGAUUCCAGCUCAGGCCCCCUCUAUGUGACAGAUUCAUGCACACACAUCCACGCACAUCAUAAAACCAGGCAGAAAUACACAUGCAUGCACAGGUGGCUAGAGAACCAUAGGGCAGGAUGGGAAAAAGGGCUGGUCAAGGAUAUGCAAUCAACUGGAAACUGGGACCUAGAGAAUGCUUCUGUUGCAGGCUGAACAUGAGUUAAAAUUAGAACAAAGGCAGAACACAGAAUAAAGGUGGGAUGCUCAGACA